rnacentral:rRNA from 1 species
AACGAACGCUGGCGGCGUGCCUAACACAUGCAAGUCGUGCGAGAAAGUUCCUUCGGGAGCGAGUAAAGCGGCGCACGGGUGAGUAACACGUAGGUAACCUGCCCCCCAGUCUGGAACAACUAGAGGAAACUCUAGCUAAUGCCGGAUGAGACCACGAUCCCUUCGGGGGUUGCGGCCAAAGAUGGCCUCUACUUGUAAGCUAUCGCUGAGGGAUGGGCCUGCGGGCCAUUAGCUUGUUGGUGAGGUAACGGCUCACCAAGGCUGUGAUGGCUAGCUGGUCUGAGAGGAUGACCAGCCACACUGGGACUGAGACACGGCCCAGACUCCUACGGGAGGCAGCAGUGGGAAUAUUGCGCAAUGGGCGAAAGCCUGACGCAGCGACGCCGCGUGGGUGAUGAA